ensembl:lncRNA
AAAAAAAUAGUCUAGCGUUUCCUUAAAUCACUUUUGCCGCGUUGCGUGUUCAGAGCAAAUUCGAAUGGAAAAUUGUUCUCGUUUGCUAGCUCACGUAUCAAAGAGAGAAGGGUUCUCUUGCCUUCGAUAGCUCAGUUGGCAGAGCGGAGGACUGUAGGUGCUCAUAUCGGUCAUCCUUAGGUCGCUGGUUCGACUCUGGCUCGAAGGAGGGCUGUCUCCGUGCGAGUUGGCUUCUUUUUUUUUCAAAAUGUUAAUUUGGCCAGAGGUGUGUAAAAAGCUCUUCCCUGACCGGGAAUCGAACCCGGGCCGCGGCGGUGAGAGCGCCGAAUCCUAACCACUAGACAACCAGGGACGAAAACCGAGAAAUUGGUGGCCUCUUCGCUGGCCAUGCUGGCCCCUGUCUACCACCAAAAGCUCCUACGAAAGGCACGUGAGCGUCAGCACUGGAAAGUGGAGCAAUAAGAUGGUGGCUUGGUCUGAUGAAUCAUGUUUUCUUUUACAUCAUGUAUGGCUUAGGGUUAGGGUUAGAAAAGGCUUGAAAAGACGCUUGGCCAAGGAGUUGCA